rnacentral:rRNA from 1 species
UACGUAGGGACCAAGCGUUGUUCGGAUUUACUGGGCGUAAAGGGCGCGUAGGCGGCAUGACAAGUCACUUGUGAAAUCUCCGGGCUCAACUCGGAACGGUCAAGUGAUACUGUCGCGCUAGAGUGCGGAAGGGGCAAUCAGAAUUCUUGGUGUAGCGGUGAAAUGCGUAGAUAUCAAGAGGAAUACCUGAGGUGAAGACGGGUUGCUAGGCCGACACUGACGCUGAAGCGCGAAAGCCAGGGGAGCAAACGGG